UACGUAGGGUGCGAGCGUUAAUCGGAAUUACUGGGCGUAAAGCGUGCGCAGGCGGUUCGUUAUGUCCGUUGUGAAAGCCCCGGGCUCAACCUGGGAAUGGCGAUGGAUACUGGCUCGCUAGAGUGCGGUAGAGGAGAGUGGAAUUCCCGGUGUAGCAGUGAAAUGCGUAGAGAUCGGGAGGAACAUCAGUUGCGAAGGCGGCUCUCUGGACCAGCACUGACACUGAGGCACGAAAGCGUGGGGAGCAAACAGG
rnacentral:rRNA from 1 species